rnacentral:rRNA from 1 species
CCUACGGGGUGCAGCAGUGGGGAAUAUUGGACAAUGGGCGAAAGCCUGAUCCAGCCAUGCCGCGUGUGUGAAGAAGGCCUUCGGGUUGUAAAGCACUUUCAGUGGGGAAGAAAGCCUUGGGGCUAAUACCCUCGAGGAAGGACAUCACCCACAGAAGAAGCACCGGCUAACUCCGUGCCAGCAGCCGCGGUAAUACGGAGGGUGCGAGCGUUAAUCGGAAUUACUGGGCGUAAAGCGCGCGUAGGCGGUCUGAUAAGCCGGUUGUGAAAGCCCCGGGCUCAACCUGGGAACGGCAUCCGGAACUGUCAGGCUAGAGUGCAGGAGAGGAAGGUAGAAUUCCCGGUGUAGCGGUGAAAUGCGUAGAGAUCGGGAGGAAUACCAGUGGCGAAGGCGGUCUUCUGGACUGACACUGACGCUGAGGUGCGAAAGCGUGGGUAGCAAACAGGAUUAGAUACCCUAGUAGUC